GAUGAACGCUGGCUACAGGCUUAACACAUGCAAGUCGAGCGGAAACGACGGGGAAGCUUGCUUUGCCGGGCGUCGACCGGCGCACGGGUGAGUAACGCGUCUCCACCCUGACUCUGACUUAGCGAUAACCCGUCGAAAGUCGGCCUAAAACCUCAUGGCAUCGUCUGCGGGCGUCCAGCGACGUUUAAACAUUUGGUCGGUCAGAGACGGGGAUGCGUCUGAUUAGCUGGGUGGCGGGUUACCGGCCCACCAAGGCGUCGCUCAGUAGGGGUUCUGAGGGGAAGGUCCCCCACAGGGGAACUGAGACACUGGCCAAACACAUACGGGCGGCAGCAGUGAGGAAUAUAGGAGAAGGGACUAGAGCCUGAUCCAGCCAAGUAGCGUGCAGGAAGACGGCCCUAUGGGUUGUAAACUGCUGUUAUGCGGGGGCAAAGUGAGGGAAGUGUGCUUGAUUGAAGGUAACGCAUGAAUAAGGACCGGCUAAUUCCGUG
rnacentral:rRNA from 1 species